GGAUGUGAAGGCGAUCUGGCUGCGACAUCUGUCACCCCAUUGAUCGCCAGGGUUGAUUUGGCUGAUCUGGCUGGCUAGGCGGGUGUCCCCUUCCUCCCUCACUGCUCCAUGUGCGUCCCUCCCGAAGCUGCGCACUGGGUGGAAGAGGACGACCAUCCCCGGUAGAGGAGGACCGUUCUUCGGUCAAGGGUAUACGGGUAACUGCGCUCCCCUGCUAGAACCUCCAAACAAACUCUCAAGGUCCAAAUAGCUGGGAGCAAAAGCCACUACACUUAGGGAAGAGACCUAAGACUCCUUUU
rnacentral:snRNA from 1 species